rnacentral:rRNA from 1 species
AUGUCGUGCGUGGGCUAUUUACCUGCUCAAAAUUGUCGCACCACAGCCAUUCGCUCGAACAACGUCGCACUCUUGCCAAUUCACCUCAAAUGUGUCGCACAGGAGCUAUUGCCCCGCACGGAUUAUGACGAGCAUGUCGACUCGUGGGCUCUUGGGGUCAUGAUGGCUGAGCUCCUCGCCGGCAAGCACCCUUUCCAUGGGAGGUCAGAUACGGAGCACCUCAGCGAGAUCUUGGACCUUCUCGGCACAGCUGACAUCAAAGAGCUGUCAGGCUACGAUGGACGCCGUUUGCCCGGCGGAUGCCAACCAGGAAGCUUUCUGCGGAAUAAGUUCCCUUGUCAGGUUGAGGCCAGGAUGAAAGGCCCGCCGACAUUGUUAGAGGCUGGUUUCGAGGUCUUGAGCGGUCUUCUACGAUGCAACCCGGAGAAGUGGCUCACGGCGGAGCAAGCGCUCAAGCAUCGGUGGUUCAAGGAGGCCAACCCUAGGGCUACAAGGAGUUGA